rnacentral:ribozyme from 1 species
UGAUAUUUUUGCUGUAGAAAAGCCUGCAAAAAGCAAACAAUAUGUUUGCAUGUCCCCUGAUGAUAUCAUCGAUAAACAACAGGACUCUAUGAGUGCGAUCAACAAUGUAUUGCCCCAUCUACCUGUAUCCUCAGUGCGCGUACUGCUGCAAA